AUUCCUUUUAGGGACAUCCGAUAAAAUUGGAACGAUAUAGAGAAGAUUAGCAUGGCCACUGCGCAAAGAUGACAUGCACAAAUCGAGAAAUGGUCCAAAUUUUA
rnacentral:snRNA from 2 species